rnacentral:rRNA from 1 species
AUUGAACGCUGGCGGCAUGCUUUACACAUGCAAGUCGAACGGUAACAGGCCGCAAGGUGCUGACGAGUGGCGAACGGGUGAGUAAUGCAUCGGAACGUGCCCAGUCGUGGGGGAUAACGCAGCGAAAGCUGUGCUAAUACCGCAUACGAUCUGUGGAUGAAAGCGGGGGACCGUAAGGCCUCGCGCGAUUGGAGCGGCCGAUGUCAGAAUAGGUAGUUGGUGGGGUAAAGGCUCACCAAGCCGACGAGCUGUAGCUGGUCUGAGAGGACGACCAGCCACACGGGGACUGAGACACGGCCCAGACUCCUACGGGAGGCAGCAGUGGGGAAGUUUGGACAAUGGGCGCAAGCCUGAUCCAGCAAUGCCGCGUGCAGGAAGAAGGCCUUCGGUUUGUAAACUGCUUUUGUACGGAGCGAAAAGGCUCUCUCUAAUACAGGGGGCUCAUGACGGUACCGUAAGAAUAAGCACCGGCUAACUACGUGCCAGCCGCCGCGGUAAUAC